rnacentral:rRNA from 1 species
CAUGUCUUUUUGAUUAUAAUUUAAAGUUUAAUCUGCUCAAUGAUUAUUUAAAUUGCCGCAGUAUUAUGACUGUGCGAAGGUAGCAUAAUAAUUAGUUCUUUUAUUGGGAACUGGAAUGAAUGAUUGGACGAGAAAAUUUCUGUCUCUUGUUAAAUUUUAUUGAAUUUUAUUUUUAAGUUAAAAAGCUUAAAUUUAAAUAAAAGACGAGAAGACCCUAUAGAGUUUUAUAAUUUGUUUUUAGUGAUUUUUGGAAGGUUAUUUUAAGAAUUAAUUAUUUAGUUGGGGUGACUUAAAGAUUUAUAAAAUUCUUUAAUGUUAAAGUUACUGAUUUGUAAAUAUUAAAUCUAAUUUUUAUUAAGUUUAAAAUUAAUUACCUUAGGGAUAACAGCGUAAUUUUUCUUUAAAGUUCUUAUUGAAAGAAAAUUUUGCGACCUCGAUGUUGGAUUAAAAUUAAUUUUUGGUGCAGUAGCUAAAAAAUUAGGUCUGUUCGACCUUUAAAAUUUUACAUGAUCUGAGUUUAAACCGGUGUAAGCCAGGUUGGAUUCUAUCUUUAGUUAGUUAAUAUAUUUUAGUACGAAAGGACCAAAUAUAUAAUAAAUAUUAUUUA